rnacentral:rRNA from 1 species
CCUACGGGAGGCAGCAGUGAGGAAUAUUGGACAAUAGGCGCAAGCCUGAUCCAGCCAUGCCGCGUGCAGGAAGAAGCAUCUAUGGUGUGUAAACUGCUUUUGUACAGGAAGAAACACUCCCUCGUGAGGGAGCUUGACGGUACUGUAAGAAUAAGGACCGGCUAACUCCGUGCCAGCAGCCGCGGUAAUACGGAGGGUCCGAGCGUUAUCCGGAAUCAUUGGGUUUAAAGGGUCCGUAGGCGGUUUAAUAAGUCAGUGGUGAAAUCUGGUCGCUCAACGAUCAAACGGCCAUUGAUACUGUUAGACUUGAAUUAUAAGGAAGUAACUAGAAUAUGUAGUGUAGCGGUGAAAUGCUUAGAUAUUACAUGGAAUACCAAUUGCGAAGGCAGGUUACUACUUAUGGAUUGACGCUGAUGGACGAAAGCGUGGGGAGCGACGAGAGUAGUAUACCUACGUAGUACGACGACCGUAACCGAACGUAGUAGUACUACGUACGUCGUUCGGUACGGACGAACUACUGUAGUAGGUCGUAACGUACGGAAAGGUAAGUAGUAAAGUAAGUUACCGUACCCGUACCGGGUAGGGUACGGUUAACGGUCGUAACGAAAGUUAAGUAAACGUUAACGUUAAAGGAAAGUUAAGGUUACGGACGUGAGGACGUUAGCCGACGGACGACGACGACGGGAGGGAGGAGG